CUACAUGAAGCUGGAAUCGCUAGUAAUCGCGAAUCAGAAUGUCGCGGUGAAUACGUUCCCGGGUCUUGUACACACCGCCCGUCACACCAUGGGAGUCGGAAAUGCCCGAAGUCAGCGACCUAACCGAAAGGGAGGAGCUGCCGAAGGUGGAGCCGGUAACUGGGGUGAAGUCGUAACAAGGUAUC
rnacentral:rRNA from 1 species